UGCGCAAUGGCAUGGCGAAGUCUGACGCAGCAACGCCGCGUGAUCGAUGAAGCUUCUAGGAGUGUAAAGGUCUGUCGUGAGGGAAGAAAAACUUGGAUGUAAAUAAUGUUCGGGCGUGACGGUACCUCACAAGAAAGCACCGGCUAACUUAGUGCCAGCAGCCGCGGUAAUACUAGGGGUGCUAGCGUUGUCCGGAAUCACUGGGCGUAAAGGGUCCGUAGGCGUUUUGCUAAGUUGAUUGUUAAAUCCAUCGGCUCAACCGAUGAUCUGCAAUCAAAACUGGUAGAAUAGAGUUCGAGAGAGGAAAGUGGAAUUCCUGGUGUAGCGGUGACAUGCGUAGAUAUCAGGAGGAACACCAAUGGCGAAGGCAGCUUUCUGGCUCGAUACUGACGCUGAGGGACGAAAGCGUGGGGAGCGAACAGGAUUAGAUACCCUGGUAGUCCACGCCGUAAACGAUGAGUACUUGAUGAUGGAGGAUUCGACCCCUUCGCUGUCGUAGCUAACGCGAUAAGUACUCCGCCUGGGGACUACGACCGCAAGGUUG
rnacentral:rRNA from 1 species